CGCGUAGGCGGUUUAGCGAGUCAGGCGUGAAAUUCCCGGGCUUAACCUGGGGGCUGCGCUUGAUACUGCUGAGCUUGAAUUCGGGAGAGGAUGGCGGAAUUCCCAGUGUAGAGGUGAAAUUCGUAGAUAUUGGGAAGAACACCGGUGGCGAAGGCGGCCAUCUGGCCCGGGAUUGACGCUGAGGCGCGAAAGCGUGGGGAGCAAACA
rnacentral:rRNA from 1 species